GGUCCAUUCGUCUACUGGUUAGGAUUUCGGUUUUUCACACCGAUAAAGAGAGUUCGAUUCUCUCAUGGACUGCCA
rnacentral:tRNA from 1 species